GAUGAACGCUGGCGGCGUGCCUAAUACAUGCAAGUCGAGCGAACAGACGAGGAGCUUGCUCCUCUGACGUUAGCGGCGGACGGGUGAGUCACACGUGGAUAACCUACCUAUAAGACUGGGAUAACUUCGGGAAACCGGAGCUAAUACCGGAUAAUAUAUUGAACCGCAUGGUUCCAUAGUGAAAGACGGUUUUGCUGUCACUUAUAGAUGGAUCCGCGCCGCAUUAGCUAGUUGGUAAGGUAACGGCUUACCAAGGCAACGAUGCGUAGCCGACCUGAGAGGGUGAUCGGCCACACUGGAAGUGAGACACGGUCGAGACUCCUACGGGAGGCAGCAGUCGGGAAUCUUACGCGAUGGGGGAGAGCGUGACAGUGCAACGCGGCGUGAGUGAUGAAGGUCUUCGGAUCGGAAAGCUCUGUUAUUAGGAAGGAACAAAUGUGUAAGUAACUGUGCACGUAUUGACGGUACCGAGUGAGAAAGCCACGGCUAACUACGUG
rnacentral:rRNA from 1 species